rnacentral:sRNA from 1 species
GCUGGGUGUGGUGGCGGGCACCUGUAAUCCCAGCUACUUGGGAGGCUGAAGCAGGAGAAUCGCUUGAACCCAGGAGGCAGAGGUUGCAGUGAGCCGAGAUCAGGCCACUGUACUCUAGCCUGGGAGAUAGAGUGAGACUCUGUCUCCA